rnacentral:lncRNA from 1 species
AUAUUUUAACAAAAACUUCUCAUUCAAUAUACACAAAUGAUAUUAGACAAAAGUGGAAUAAAAAAAAUAAAAUAGUAGCAUAAAAAAUAUCAAAAAUAUUAUAAUAAAAAGAAAAAACAGAGGAGAAGAUGGAUUAGAGAAGAUGAAAAAGAAAGAACAUAAGAGAUGUGGGAUUAGAGAAGAAAGGCGCGAUAAAAACGUAAUUGGAAGAGAAAACAAUAACAUAAAAAUGAGAAUAUGAAAA